UACGAACUGUGCGAACGUUAUUCGGAAUCACUGGCUUACAGGGUGCGUAGGCGGCCUGACAAGUAGGGUGUGAAAGCCCCCGGCUUAACCGGGGAAUGGCGCCCUAAACUGUCGGGCUGGAGUGAGAUAGGGGUGUGCGGAACUUCCGGUGGAGCGGUGAAAUGUGUUGAUAUCGGAAGGAACGCCGGUGGCGAAAGCGGCGACACUGGAUCUCAACUGACGCUGAGGCACGAAAGCCAGGGAGCGAACGGG
rnacentral:rRNA from 1 species